GAUGAACGCUGGCGGCGUGCUUAACACAUGCAGGUCGAACGAUGAAGCCCAGCUUGCUGGGUGGAUUAGUGGCGAACGGGUGAGUAACACGUGAGUAACCUGCCCUUAACUCUGGGAUAAGCCUGGGAAACUGGGUCUAAUACCGGAUAGGAGCGUCCACCGCAUGGUGGGUGUUGGAAAGAUUUAUCGGUUUUGGAUGGACUCGCGGCCUAUCAGCUUGUUGGUGAGGUAAUGGCUCACCAAGGCGACGACGGGUAGCCGGCCUGAGAGGGUGACCGGCCACACUGGGACUGAGACACGGCCCAGACUCCUACGGGAGGCAGCAGUGGGGAAUAUUGCACAAUGGGCGAAAGCCUGAUGCAGCGACGCCGCGUGAGGGAUGACGGCCUUCGGGUUGUAAACCUCUUUCAGUAGGGAAGAAGCGAAAGUGACGGUACCUGCAGAAGAAGCACCGGCUAACUACGUG
rnacentral:rRNA from 1 species